rnacentral:rRNA from 1 species
GACGAACGCUGGCGGCGUGCUUAACACAUGCAAGUCGAACGGAAGGGCCCUGCUUUUGUGGGGUGCUCGAGUGGCGAACGGGUGAGUAACACGUGAGUAACCUGCCCUUGACUUUGGGAUAACUUCAGGAAACUGGGGCUAAUACCGGAUAGGAGCUCCUGCUGCAUGGUGGGGGUUGGAAAGUUUCGGCGGUUGGGGAAGGACUCGCGGCUUAUCAGCUUGUUGGUGGGGUAGUGGCUUACCAAGGCUUUGACGGGUAGCCGGCCUGAGAGGGUGACCGGCCACAUUGGGACUGAGAUACGGCCCAGACUCCUACGGGAGGCAGCAGUGGGGAAUAUUGCACAAUGGGCGGAAGCCUGAUGCAGCAACGCCGCGUGCGGGAUGACGGCCUUCGGGUUGUAAACCGCUUUCGCCUGUGACGAAGCGUGAGUGACGGUAAUGGGUAAAGAAGCACCGGCUAACUACGUG